rnacentral:rRNA from 1 species
UACGUAGGGACCAAGCGUUGUCCGGAAUCAUUGGGCGUAAAGAGCGUGUAGGCGGCUUGUUAAGUCUUGCGUGAAAUCUCGGGGCUCAACCCCGAGCGGUCGUGAGAAACUGGCAGGCUAGAGUGCGGGAGAGGAGAGUGGAAUUCCUGGUGUAGCGGUGAAAUGCGCAGAUAUCAGGAAGAACACCCGUGGCGAAGGCGGCUCUCUGGAACGCAACUGACGCUGAGACGCAAAAGCGUGGGGAGCGAACAGG